rnacentral:sRNA from 1 species
GAGAAGCUUCGACUAAGGUUCGACUCGAGCGUCAGCGAGAGAACGUUGCCGCAGGCAACGGCCCGAAGGGCGAGGCGC